AACUGAUACUACCUGCGGGAACCUGCGGAAGGAUCAUUACAGGACUCGCAAGACUCCUACAACCCUGUGAACCUACUAUACGAACGUUGCUUCGGCGGGUGCGCCCCGGGGAUUCGUUCCCGCGGCGCGUCAGCCCGCCGGCAGCCUACAAAUUCUGUUUCUUUGCGUUGGCAUCUCGAGAAAAACAAAUAAGUUAAAACUUUCAGCAAUGGAUCUCU
rnacentral:misc_RNA from 1 species